ensembl:lncRNA
GUUGACACUGUGUCCAUCAUCAUGUUCAUCCUCUGUAUCAGGUUGACACUGCGUCCAUCAUCAUGUUCAUCCUCUGUAUCAGGUUGACACUGUGUCCAUCAUCAUGUUCAUCCUCUGUAUCAGGUUGACACUGUGUCCAUCAUCAUGUUCAUCCUCUGUAUCAGGUUGACACUGUGUCCAUCAUCAUGUUCAUCCUCUAUAUCAGGUUGACACUGUGUCAGGUAAAGCACAUCAGGUUGACACUGUGUCAGGUAAAGCACAACAGGUUGACACUGUUUCAGGUAAAGCACAUCAGGUUGACACUGUGUCAGGUAAAGCACAACAGGUUGACACUGUUUCAGGUAAAGCACAUCAGGUUGACACUGUGUCAGGUAAAGCACAACAGAUUGACACUGUUUCUAGGACAUUAAAAUACUAAUAUCACACCUUCUAACUAAUGCACUCCAACCCCUUACACACAUCAGCACAGUGGGAAUCGCAGUUCUGAAGCACCACCAGAAACAUAGCGGAUCGUUGGGGAUCAUAGUUCUGAUGCACCACCAGGGACAUAGCGGAUCGUUGGGAAUCAUAGUUCUGAAGCACCACCAGAAACAUAACGGAUCGUUGGGAAUCAUAGUUCUGAAGCACCACCAGGAACAUAGCGGAUCGUUGGGAAUCAUAGUUCUGAAGCACCACCAGGAACAUAGCGGAUCGUUGGGAAUCAUAGUUCUGAAGCACCACCAG